rnacentral:rRNA from 1 species
UACGAAGGGGGCUAGCGUUGCUCGGAAUUACUGGGCGUAAAGGGCGCGUAGGCGGAUAGUUUAGUCAGAGGUAAAAGCCCAGGGCUCAACCUUGGAACUGCCUUUGAUACUGGCUAUCUUGAGUUCGGGAGAGGUGAGUGGAAUGCCGAGUGUAGAGGUGAAAUUCGUAGAUAUUCGGCGGAACACCAGUGGCGAAGGCGACUUACUGGACACAUAUUGACGCUGAGGUGCGAAAGCGUGGGGAGCAAACAGG